rnacentral:lncRNA from 1 species
CCUAUUCAUAUUUACCUACAGAUUUAUUUAUAUUUACUUACAUCUUCCUCCUUAUAUUUACUUAUAAACAUCUCCAUAUCUACUUACAUAGACUUACUACACACUUACUUAUGAACCUAUUCACAUCCAAUCAUUUAUUCAUACUUAUAUAAAACCCUACUUAUCACAGGUGACGGAAAAAUCGGACUUCAGACUUCUCCAGAAUCUCCAGAAUCUUCAAAACGUAAAAGGCAAAACGGAGAAAAAAUGCAGCAUGAGAAUAGACAGUAAAUGUAUGGCAAGUUCUAUUGUAACUUGAAUACAAACUGUCUAUUCCUUCGACUGAGACUACUUGUGCUUUGAUGGACAUAAUAUAUAGGAACUAUUCUAUACGUAUUUUGUUUACUCAAAUUUUGUAAGGCAAUAUUAUGUGAACUUGAUCUGACUCGUAGUUAAUAUGGAUGGUGUUAUGAUUAUGUUACUU